UACGUAGGAGACAAGCGUUAUCCGGAGUUACUGGGCGUAAAGGGCGCGUAGGUGGUUUUGUAAGUCUGGCGUGAAAUUUUUCGGCUUAACCGGGAAAGGUCGUCGGAUACUGCAAGGCUAGAGGACGGUAGAGGCGUGUGGAAUUCCGGGUGUAGUGGUGAAAUGCGUAGAGAUCCGGAGGAACACCAGUGGCGAAGGCGACACGCUGGGCCGUACCUGACACUGAUGCGCGACAGCAUGGGGAGCAAACAGG
rnacentral:rRNA from 1 species